rnacentral:rRNA from 1 species
GAUGAACGCUGGCGGCGUACCUAAUACAUGCAAGUCGAGCGAACAGACGAGGAGCUUGCUCCUCUGACGUUAGCGGCGGACGGGUGAGUAACACGUGGAUAACCUACCUAUAAGACUGGGAUAACUUCGGGAAACCGGAGCUAAUACCGGAUAAUAUAUUGAACCGCAUGGUUCAAUAGUGAAAGACGGUUUUGCUGUCACUUAUAGAUGGAUCCGCGCCGCAUUAGCUAGUUGGUAAGGUAACGGCUUACCAAGGCAACGAUGCGUAGCCGACCUGAGAGGGUGAUCGGCCACACUGGAACUGAGACACGGUCCAGACUCCUACGGGAGGCAGCAGUAGGGAAUCUUCCGCAAUGGGCGAAAGCCUGACGGAGCAACGCCGCGUGAGUGAUGAAGGUCUUCGGAUCGUAAAACUCUGCUAUUAGGGAAGAACAAAUGUGUAAGUAACUAUGCACGUCUUGACGGUACCUAAUCAGAAAGCCACGGCUAACUACGUG